UGCGUGUCUUUGCCCACUUUUGCAAUCCCUUCUGUGCGGGGACUGUUGCCCUCCAAAAGCCUGUGUGCUUGUGUGUAUUUUGUUUUUAAUCAUCUCUCCCUGUUCUUCUUUUACCUCUUUUCUAAGAAGAGAGGCUGGGGGUGAGGUCGGGGGCUAAUGGGCUCAGGGGAAGGGGCAGAGAGCACGAGCACAGAGUCAAGAGUUUCCUCCAGGGCUUGGCCUCAGAGCACACUGCCAGCGCUGGAAGAGCUGCUGGCAGGAUCCUCCGCUGGUCUGAGCGGAAUGGGUCGCCAGCAGGGGCGCGGCGACCAGGGUGAACCCAAAUCCAGCCUGCGGGCUGCUUCGAGGCGCGGGAGGAACACAGCAUCUCGCCUGGGCCAAGAAGCCGCGGCUCCCCACGAUUUCAUUCUAGGCGGAUCGCCUGAGAAUCCCCAGCUGGUCCCCUCAGGUCUCUGCAGAGCCCUGCCCCUGCACCUUGGACCCUGACUCCAAAUCCACUCUCUAGCAGUGUCUCAAGAAGGACUCCUAAUGUUUGGCUGUGUGUCUCUGAAUCUGCUCUCAUCAGUUGCUGGAUGAAGUCUCCCUGGAUUCUUUGAAGAUUAUUUUUCUAGGAUCUGGUCAUACUGUUGGUCAAAGGUUUUGUUGCUGGGUUUAACUCUGGUCUAAGCACUGUACAGUCCCUAGCUCUCUGGACUUUUACUAACUGUGGAUGUCCAUGUUAACCCCUGUCCACUGCAAAUGGAAGCUUCUCUGAUGACAGGUGACAGCUGUACUAACCACUCAACUGCGAGUACAAAGAUGAUUUCCCUGUCUCUACUGGACAAAAAAACAAAAACAAACAAACAAACAAACAAAAAUCAACAUCCAUCCCUGGAUUUAACUUGCUGGUACUUCCAAUUGGUUGGCUCACUGAGCACUGGGAAAACUGGUAUUCGUUUCAUGGCCAAGACCUUGAAGCAGUUGGUUAGUCCAUUAUCAUCAUGGUGGGAUACAUGGCUGCAAGCAUACUGCUGGAGAAGUAGCUGAGAUUUCUAUAUUCUGAAUCACAGGAAGUGAGAGACAGAGAGGCUCUGGGUUUGGCAACCUCAAAGCCCAUUCACGGUGAAACACUUUCAACAAUGGACCAUACCUCUUAAUCCUUCUAAUCUUUUUGAAUAGUACACUCUCUGGUGACUAGCAUUCAAAUAUGUGAGUCUAUUGGGGAGGGGAGAAUUCUUAAUCAAAUGACCACGAUAUGUAUGUGCAUUUACUUCAACUGUAGAGAAAGGUUUUGCAUUGCUGUUUGGAAUUCUAGCUCUACUUCACAUGUCUUUUGUGUAUCUUCCAAAUGAGAGGAUCCAUGUUGCUGCAUGACACGGAGAAACUAAACUUUUUGGGUUGGCUACAUAAGGAGAGAUGCUUUUAAAUGAAAGAAGUGAACACCUUGUUCAUCAUGUGGCUUUGUGUCUUUUAUAAAAAUGAGUGCUUAAAAAAUUCAUUCAGUUCAUGUGUUUUCUGCAUGUAUAUUUGUGAAAUGACUAUUUAACUCUCACUAGCCAACUUCAAAAGUUUCCCCAAACUGUAGUGUCACCCACAAUCAUCAACAGCGCAGUGAGGAGUAGGUAACAUCUUGUCCUCAUUGCUUAGAUGUCAGUUGAGAAUGUGAGGAGGUGAAAUGGCAGCUUAUGUUUGUGUCACUUAUUAAAGUGUGAACAUUGUAUGCA